rnacentral:rRNA from 1 species
UACGUAGGGCGCGAGCGUUGUCCGGAUUUAUUGGGCGUAAAGAGCUCGUAGGCGGCUUGUCGCGUCGACUGUGAAAACCCGCAGCUCAACUGCGGGCCUGCAGUCGAUACGGGCAGGCUAGAGUUCGGUAGGGGAGACUGGAAUUCCUGGUGUAGCGGUGAAAUGCGCAGAUAUCAGGAGGAACACCGGUGGCGAAGGCGGGUCUCUGGGCCGAUACUGACGCUGAGGAGCGAAAGCGUGGGGAGCGAACAGG